rnacentral:rRNA from 1 species
GAUGAACGCUGGCGGCGUGCCUAAUACAUGCAAGUCGAGCGAACAGACGAGGAGCUUGCUCCUCUGACGUUAGCGGCGGACGGGUGAGUAACACGUGGAUAACCUACCUAUAAGACUGGGAUAACUUCGGGAAACCGGAGCUAAUACCGGAUAAUAUAUUGAACCGCAUGGUUCAAUAGUGAAAGGCGGUUUUGCUGUCACUUAUAGAUGGAUCCGCGCCGCAUUAGCUAGUUGGUAAGGUAACGGCUUACCAAGGCAACGAUGCGUAGCCGACCUGAGAGGGUGAUCGGCCACACUGGAACUGAGACACGGUCCAGACUCCUACGGGAGGCAGCAGUAGGGAAUCUUCGGCAAUGGGCGAAAGCCUGACGGAGCAACGCCGCGUGAGUGAUGAAGGUCUUCGGAUCGUAAAACUCUGUUAUUGGGGAAGAACAAAUGUGUAAGUAACUAUGCACGUCUUGACGGUACCUAAUCAGAAAGCCACGGCUAACUACGUG